AUGUACAUGCAUAAAAUGUUAAUGCACUAGAUCCCAUUAUAACUUUGUAGUUAAGUGUGCUUGGGUUAGAGUAGUACUACGAUGGGUGACCUCAGAAUUCCUAGUGUUUUACAUG
rnacentral:rRNA from 1 species